AAAUGCGAUAAGUAAUGUGAAUUGCAGAAUUCAGUGAAUCAUCGAAUCUUUGAACGCACAUUGCGCCCGCCAGAAUUCUGGCGGGCAUGCCUGUUCGAGCGUCAUUUCAACCCUCGAGCUCCCCUUUCGGGGGGAGCCCGGCGUUGGGGACCCGGCGCUAACAACGCCGGCCCCGAAAUGGAGUGGCGGCCCGUCCGCGGCGACCUCUGCGUAGUAACAACCACUCGCACCGGGACCCGGGCGCGGCCACGCCGUAAAACACCCCACCUUCCGAAUGUUGACCUCGAAUCAGGUAGGAAUACCCACUGAACUUAAGC
rnacentral:misc_RNA from 1 species